AGUGAACGCUGGCGGUAGGCCUAACACAUGCAAGUCGAACGGCAGCACAGUAAGAGCUUGCUCUUACGGGUGGCGAGUGGCGGACGGGUGAGGAAUACAUCGGAAUCUACUUUUUCGUGGGGGAUAACGUAGGGAAACUUACGCUAAUACCGCAUACGACCUACGGGUGAAAGCAGGGGAUCUUCGGACCUUGCGCGAUUGAAUGAGCCGAUGUCGGAUUAGCUAGUUGGCGGGGUAAAGGCCCACCAAGGCGACGAUCCGUAGCUGGUCUGAGAGGAUGAUCAGCCACACUGGAACUGAGACACGGUCCAGACUCCUACGAGAGGCAGCAGUGGGGAAUAUUGGACAAUGGGCGCAAGCCUGAUCCAGCCAUACCGCGUGGGUGAAGAAGGCCUUCGGGUUGUAAAGCCCUUUUGUUGGGAAAGAAAAGCAGCAGGUUAAUACCCCGCGGUUCUGACGGUACCCAAAGAAUAAGCACCGGCUAACUUCGUG
rnacentral:rRNA from 1 species